rnacentral:rRNA from 1 species
UACAGAGGUCCCAAGCGUUGUUCGGAUUCACUGGGCGUAAAGGGUGCGUAGGCGGUCGGGUAAGUCUGAUGUGAAAUCUCACAGCUUAACUGUGAAACUGCAUUGGAUACUAUCCGGCUCGAGGAAUGGAGGGGAGACUGGAAUACUUGGUGUAGCAGUGAAAUGCGCAGAUAUCGGGAGGAACACCGGUGGCGAAGGCGGUUCUCUGGGCCUGUACUGACGCUGAGGAGCGAAAGCGUGGGGAGCGAACAGG